CAUUCACUUAUUACUUUGUUGUUGAACUGAGUACUUAGGAGAGGAUUGUGGGCUUUAGGGCCUGCUUCGUUUCUUGUUGCUUUUUGUUGGGUUUUCACUUUUUUUUUUAUUUCUCACACUCUGCUUUACAUUGUUUGAUUUAUUUACUUCUUAUUAAAUAUUGAGAUAAUAACUAUAAGUAGUAAUAGUAGAAAUACUUGUUAACCUAAUUUGGAUUAUUAUUUCAAUUCGCAUUUUAUUACUUAUUUCAGUUAUGCAUCAUAAUAAAAUAGGACAAUAAUUGCUAAAGUUAGCAAAUGAUCCAUAUUCCUAAG
rnacentral:lncRNA from 1 species